CACCACCAAGUUUGACAACAGCAGCAACCCAAGUGCCGACAUCGCCCCAAAGACCUGUGCCCGUCACAGGGAGACCGGUACCGUUUGAAAACACCACCGAACCCGGUCGCAUGACAUCACGAUGCCUGGAGCUCAGACUUCGUGACGUCACACUCCCAGAGUGGGAGAGCGAAAUGCAAUGCAGUACCAGUAAUAUUUCUGAUUGGUUUGGAUAAAGAAUUUUGGAGUUAUUCGAUUGUUAAUUCCUACCUGCCGAGAUCAUCGGAAAAGUUGAUGCCUUCGCUCAUCUUUCCCCCAACGACAGAGAGCAGUAGAGCCCCUGUGAUUGGGCCUGCUGUUUGCUUUGAGUGCUGGAGGUCAAAUAAAACAGUUACUGUUGCAGGCCAACACCACGGAUCAACCCGCAGAGUAUAGAUUGAUGCUCCAACCAGGCCAGGCUUAAUCAUAUUCUGAAGUGAUCAUCUCCUGUACGCAAGAGCUUUCACUCAAGAGUCAACAUAAAUUUGAGUCUCUCCGUGGGCAAUUCUACCAGACAAAAACAGAAAA